GUAGGCCCGUGCCCCUGCUCGCGCUGCAGCCCGUGGAAGGGUUGCGUCCAGUGUAUCCUCCAGAUCUUGCGGUAGUCGUCUCGUAUCUGUGCGCGCGCGGGAGGGACAGCGGCGGCGACGGCCGGAGGUGUACGGUCAGCGGGUUGCGGAGGAUCGUGCGGGUAGCAAAGGGAGGCCGAGUGCUCCUGCGGCUCCCAGACGGCAAACGGGAACUAACCUGUCAGGUACUGAGAGGCUUUGAAGAUGGCUCUUCAGGUUGGGGACACGCCUUUGUUAAGGGGCAAGACUGCUGCCUGGAGUUGAUUCACAUACUCAGAGGUAGGAUUGACCACAUAAAGAAAAUGCUUUCAAGUCUUUGUUCUGAAUUUUCUUCG
rnacentral:lncRNA from 1 species